GACGAACGCUGGCGGCGUGCCUAAUACAUGCAAGUUGAGCGCUGAAGGUUGGUACUUGUACCAACUGGAUGAGCAGCGAACGGGUGAGUAACGCGUGGGGAAUCUGCCUUUGAGCGGGGGACAACAUUUGGAAACGAAUGCUAAUACCGCAUAAAAACUUUAAACACAAGUUUUAAGUUUGAAAGAUGCAAUUGCAUCACUCAAAGAUGAUCCCGCGUUGUAUUAGCUAGUUGGUGAGGUAAAGGCUCACCAAGGCGAUGAUACAUAGCCGACCUGAGAGGGUGAUCGGCCACAUUGGGACUGAGACCCGGCCCAAACUCCUACGGGAGGCAGCAGUAGGGAAUCUUCGGCAAUGGACGAAAGUCUGACCGAGCAACGCCGCGUGAGUGAAGAAGGUUUUCGGAUCGUAAAACUCUGUUGGUAGAGAAGAACGUUGGUGAGAGUGGAAAGCUCAUCAAGUGACGGUAACUACACAGAAAGGGACGGCUAACUACGUG
rnacentral:rRNA from 1 species